UACGUAGGGUGCGAGCGUUGUCCGGAAUCAUUGGGCGUAAAGCGCGUGUAGGCGGUUCGAUAAGUCUGCUGUGAAAGUCCAGGGCUCAACCCUGGGAUGCCGGUGGAUACUGUCGAGCUAGAGUACGGAAGAGGCGAGUGGAAUUCCCGGUGUAGCGGUGAAAUGCGCAGAUAUCGGGAGGAACACCAAUUGCGAAGGCAGCUCACUAAAUUGUAACUGACGCUGAGGCACGAAAGCGUGGGGAUCAAACAGG
rnacentral:rRNA from 1 species